UGAGGAAUAUUGGUCAAUGGAGGAAACUCUGAACCAGCCACUCCGCGUGCAGGACGACGGCCUUCUGGGUUGUAAACUGCUUUUGUAUAGAAAUAAAAUUUCUUACUAGUAAGAACUUGAAGGUACUAUACGAAUAAGUGUCGGCUAACUCCGUGCCAGCAGCCGCGGUAAUACGGAGGACACAAGCGUUAUCCGGAUUUAUUGGGUUUAAAGGGUGCGUAGGCGGUUUGUUAAGUCAGUAGUGAAAUCUUACAGCUCAACUGUAAAAUUGCUAUUGAUACUAGCAGCCUAGAGUAAGAUUGGAGCAAUUGGAAUGUGUGGUGUAGCGGUGAAAUGCAUAGAUAUCACACAGAACACCGAUCGCGAAGGCAGAUUGCUAAGUCUUUACUGACGCUGAGGCACGAAAGCGUGGGUAGCAAACAGG
rnacentral:rRNA from 1 species